AGGACAAACGCUGGCGGCGUACUUAAGACAUGCAAGUCGAACGGGCGCUUCACCUUCGGGUGGGUGUGCUAGUGGCGGACGGGUGAGUAACGCGUAGGAACCUGUCAUCAAGAGGGGGGAUAACGCUGGGAAACCGGCGCUAAUACCGCAUGUGGUCAUGAAAAUGAAGAAAGCAGCAAUGCGCUUGAUGAGGGGCCUGCGUCCGAUUAGCUUGUUGGUGGGGUAAAGGCCUACCAAGGCAUCGAUCGGUAGCUGGUCUGAGAGGAUGGUCAGCCACACUGGGACUGAGACACGGCCCAGACUCCUACGGGAGGCAGCAGUUAGGAAAUUUUCCCAAUGGGCGCAAGCCUGAGGGAGUAACGCCGCGUGGAGGAUGACGGCUUUCGGGUUGUAAACUCCUUUCUGUGGGAGAGUAGAAGACGGUACCGCAGGAAUAAGCCUCGGCUAACUACGUGCCAGCAGCCGC
rnacentral:rRNA from 1 species